GCGGGCCAGGAUCGGCCUGCUGCCCGGCCGCCAGCCCUUCCAGCACCGCAUGACGCUCCACCUGGCGCUAGUCCGGCCCGAAGACUUCGGCCUGUAUCGCUGCCUUAACGAGAACAGCAUGGGCAGCGGAUAUCAAGACAUCAGGCUCAAGGAGGCCGGCGGUCGGAGGCCGAAGCAGUACCGUCGCCGUCCGGACGCUGACGUCACCACAGUAUCUGGACGGGCCGCUGCGGCUGGCCACCGGUACUCGCUGGAGGGCCCGGUGCUCUCCACUGAAAGCGUGCCGGUCACCGAGGCGGCCGCCACAUCGGCCUCAGGAGCGUUCCGGUUUGUCAACCUGGCAGUUCUUCCCGCACUUUUAGCUCUACGUCACCUCAGUGCAUAGAGCUGCCUAACUCCACAUGCGGAACGAGGGCGCGGAAAGAGAGGCGGAGGCCGGCAGAGCGUGUGAGCGACCGAUGUCGGGCGGCUCAUCCGCGUCAGACGCACCAACUUUCGACUAAUGUUCGCGCCAACGGGUGUAACUAGACAUAUCUAGCAGGCGGUGGUCGGCGUCCUGGGUGGUGGGUCGGCGGCUGGUCUGGGCCUGUUAUAGGACGCCCGGUGCUGCCGCAGGCGCUCACCCGUGCCCGCGGCUGGUCUGGGACUGCUGUAGGACGCCCGGUGCUGCCGCAGGCGCUCACCCGGGCCCGCGGCUGGUCUGGGGCUGCUACAGGACGCCCGCAGGCGUUCGCUCGGGUCCGGAGCUGGCAUUGGGGAAUCGGCGCUCCCCCAGGACGGCUGCGAGGGUUGCUGUCACUGUCACGUCUGGCGAGGCGGCUCUCAUCGGACCGAUGGCAGCGCACAUCAUAAGGAUGGCCGCGAGGACGGGCCGCCGCGGCUCCUGGUGCGGCGCAGACGCCGUGGCGAAAUACUCGACGAUGCCGAGUAUGCGACGCUAUGUAAACAGUGGGCGCUUGAAGUUCAGAGUGUGUGGGUAAUCUGGACUGGUGGGAUCGUGAAACACCGAUGCAUGCUGCGUAUGUACGUUAAGGAUACAAGUCAUUUUCAUCCUUGAGUGUCGAAUUACUCUCAUUUAUUAGUGCGUACAUCUUAGACCCCCGUACGUAGAAUGUUUGUUCUGGUCAUUGAGCUACGUGUACGUCGACAUGAGUUCAUGCAACGCCUAGUGAUUGCAACAAAUGGGCGUGAUUCGGUUGGCAGCGAGUUUCCUUCUCAAGAGGCAGGACACGACAAAUGCAGGGGUGCAAACGAACCUCCGAUUGCAAACACAUUUUUUUUAACAAGGGAGCAAUAUUUCAAAAAUUGCGUGCAUUGCCCGGUUACAUGUUGACGGUAUUGUGUGUCACACAGGGUCAGUAAAAAUGAUACUCCAGAACCGAGGCAACUGUUACAAUUUCUGCCCCUAACCGAAUCUCGAGGGCAGACAUUACACAGAGACGAACGUCUUGGAAAAUUAUUCCGGCCCAGGUGUGACUGUUUUUUGUCGAAUGCUGUUAGGUCACGCAACAUGAAGAACAAUCUUGAAGCCAUUCUUCUUACCAUAGUUGGGUUAGCACAUAGGAGGAUAAGGCCGCAGGGAAAAUCAUUUUUUUACUCUAACGAUAGGAAGGAACCGCCAUUUACAACCAUUGCCAAUAUCAACAUCGAAGUUUUUUUAACUACAAAGCCAAAAAUGUGUCAUUUUCUGCACCAAUCAAAUCAAACCGCUCAGCUGCUGCAGCACAAAGCCGGCGAGCGAUGAGUUGUGUUGAACUGAGUGGACUGCCGCGCCAGCUGCCGUCAUUAACUCUGGAAUAUUGAAUCUCACCAUCGCGCUCAGGGUCAUAUCGCUUGCAAUGCAAUAGCCAUCGUGUUCGAUUUCGCUUUGUGUAAAGGAGCCGUGCGGUGUGCGCCGGUAUAUUAUCUGAAAUUCAAGCUAGCUCUGAUGAAGUUUUUGUUUUUGGUCAUUGGACUCGUUACAUACUGCUGUUAAGAAUGGUACCUGAAGGUUUUACGUGUUGUAAUGCUGUUAUUGUGAUUGCGUGUUUCAUUAUCUGUAGUUAUUUUUGUGAUCCGCGUGAAACUGUCAAACCCGACAGGCAUUUUUAUUGCUGACCAUCCGUAGGAUAGCAGCGGAUUUAUUGAGCUGAAUAAAG